UCAGAAUUAUAAGUGGGAGUCACCACAGUCAGAAUUCUGACGGAAUUCAGCAGGCAACCUGAUCGAUGUGGAUACUCUAGUUGUUAAAAGCAGAUACAUUUGAGGUCGCAGGAUCAAGUUUGAAAAGAUGUAACCUAGGAUAUGGCCAUGUGCACCUGGCAUGGAGGAAGUGCUGGGACCACAGG